rnacentral:snRNA from 1 species
ACGUCUUCUUGCCUUCUGGCUUAGAUCAAGUGUAGUAUCUGUUCUUUCCUAGUUUGACCACUUGGAAUCUUUUUUUCAUUUAUCAAACAUGUUUUUGGAAUACAGCCCAUGACCUCUGGAGCUUUGUCUCUAUUGUCUGGUGGCAUGGUGUCGCUCGUAUUGCACUAUCUCGAGCUGAUGCGAAAAUCUC